rnacentral:rRNA from 1 species
UACGUAGGGUGCAAGCGUUGUCCGGAAUCAUUGGGCGUAAAGAGCGUGUAGGCGGCCCGGUAAGUCCGCUGUAAAAGUCAAAGGCUCAACCUUUGAAUGUCAGUGGAUACUGCCGGGCUAGAGUCCGGAAGAGGCGAGUGGAACUCCUGGUGUAGUGGUGGAAUGCGUAGAGAUCCGGAGGAACACCAGCGGCGAAGGCGGCAUCCUGGACUGGUCCUGACACUCAGGAGCGAAAGCGUGGGGAGCGAUCCGG